rnacentral:rRNA from 1 species
UAGGGAAUCUUCGGCAAUGGGGGGAACCCUGACCGAGCAACGCCGCGUGAGUGAAGAAGGUUUUCGGAUCGUAAAGCUCUGUUGUUAAGGAAGAACGAGUGUGAGAAUGGAAAGUUCAUGCUGUGACGGUACUUAACCAGAAAGGGACGGCUAACUACGUGCCAGCAGCCGCGGUAAUACGUAGGUCCCGAGCGUUGUCCGGAUUUAUUGGGCGUAAAGCGAGCGCAGGCGGUUAGAAAAGUCUGAAGUGAAAGGCAGUGGCUCAACCAUUGUAGGCUUUGGAAACUGUUUAACUUGAGUGCAGAAGGGGAGAGUGGAAUUCCAUGUGUAGCGGUGAAAUGCGUAGAUAUAUGGAGGAACACCGGUGGCGAAAGCGGCUCUCUGGUCUGUAACUGACGUUGAGGCUCGAAAGCGUGGGGAGCUAACAGG